AGUGAACGCUGGCGGUAGGCCUAGCACAUGCAAGUCGAACGGCAGCACAGUAAGAGCUUGCUCUUACGGGUGGCGAGUGGCGGACGGGUGAGGAAUACAUCGGAAUCUACUUUUUCGUGGGGGAUAACGUGGGGAAACUUACGCUAAUACCGCAUACGACCUCCGGGUGAAAGCAGGGGAUCUUCGGACCUUGCGCGAUUGAAUGAGCCGAUGUCGGAUUAGCUAGUUGGCGGGGUAAAGGCCCACCAAGGCGACGAUCCGUAGCUGGUCUGAGAGGAUGAUCAGCCACACUGGAACUGAGACACGGUCCAGACUCCUACGGGAGGCAGCAGUGGGGAAUAUUGGACAAUGGGCGCAAGCCUGAUCCAGCCAUACCGCGUGGGUGAAGAAGGCCUUCGGGUUGUAAAGCCCUUUUGUUGGGAAAGAAAAGCAGCAGGUUAAUACCCCGCUGUUCUGACGGUACCCAAAGAAUAAGCACCGGCUAACUUCGUG
rnacentral:rRNA from 1 species